AUAUGAAGAAGCUGCAGGAGUUCAGUGGGGCUCGACCACCGAUUGCUGCGGAAGAACCUGCUGUCAAGACUGCCUGCCACAACAUCCGAUUCUGAAUUGGGACCUUAAUCGAUGUUUUUUAACGAAAACAUGUAAUCCUGUGUCUCAUCAGCACCUACUUCAAAGCACUCAGGUCUGGAAUAAUGGAAGGAGUCUGGCCUUUGAUUCUGAUCCUCCUGGGCUAGGAGAGGCUGUGGAGAUUACUGAGGAGCUCUGAAGAAGAUGGAGAUGACAAGGAAGUUGUGGCCUAACAGGCAUACUGGGAA